UAUAUAUAUAUAUAUAUAUAAAACUUUUCACAUUAGCUAAACGAUCUGAUAGUGUAAAACCUGUAUUCCAUUGAUGUUUAUUUUAUGUACAGUUGUGCAGAAGGCAGAAUUGAAUUUCCUCAUCAAUUACCAUGUUACCUCAACAACAAUAAGCUCAACAAAGACUUACACUGAUAUACCUUUCUUCUUGAAGAUUCUAUGACAUACACAUCUUCCAACUAUUUUAAGGAAACAACAAAUAAUUGACAAUGGUCAUGGAGGAAAUUAGUUGUUGGGACCAAGAAAAGGAGGAAAGUUAACCAUGACAAAAUACAAAAAGAAAAUUGUGUUGACGAAUGAUUUACAAAGAGAUGAAAGAUUGAAUUGAAGGUGCAAGCAGAUUAUUAUUUAUCCAAGCUUAAUUGUGUACUUCCUAAAUAUCAUUGUUGGAAUUUGAGCAUCUGCAUGCUUAGAAUGUUUUUGCUACCUAGUUUUUUCAAUAGUGAACUACUUUUUACAUUUGUUUUAUUGUUUGGGUGAGUUGGGUAAAACCAUGCAUGCUAAUUUUAGGUGAGUUUUGUAAAAACUUUUGUCAUAGUUGUGAGUGAGCUCAAUGUACAAUUGUAAUUGAAUUUUUAUAAUGGGAAAAUCUCUUGAAUGUUUCUCAAGAGGACUGGA